UCUAUCUGAAAAACCUAGAAGCCACAAGAAGAAGUGCUCUGUACUUUAUUAUGCACAAACAUAUAAGCACCGAUAACCUACAUAUAGACUGAGAAGAUUUCACGGCAUUGCAAGAUCAUGCGAACUUCUGGUCUCAAUGCACGCGUUCUGAAGGAGAACCCAGCAGCAGGUGGAAAAACGAGUGCAGAUGUGCAGGAGCAGGAUAAACGGCUGCUUCAGAAAAGUGGGAAUGAAUCAGUUCAGAAGGUCAAAGGAGAUGAAGACAUGUCUAGGCACAGAACUGAAAGUUUCCUUGGAAAACGUCCUAAUAUGAAAAAAGAAAACAGGGAUUCUGCUGACUUGAAGGAUGCAGAGACUCGGACGCAUCAGGAUAUUUUACUGAACGGGAAAAAAUGAUCAUUUAUAGCUGCAUUUGUGUAAAAGAUGGAAAACAAAACAAAUCCCACAAAAAUGAUAAAAUAUUUAUAAAGUUAGUUAAGCUGGGCUUUCCAUAACACAAAGUGUUUUGAGUCCCAGUAAUACAAAUGAUUUAAUCUGGUCACUACGAGUAUUUCCCCCAGAUCUUAUGCUGCUAUUUGAAUAUGCUGCUCAAUAUGCUGCUAUUGUUUUGCACUACAAAACAAUAUAAAAGUUAUACGUGAAAAUUUGAUAAGUUCUGCUGAUAGUUUCUUCCAUUCGGAUCUGUUAUUUCAUCCAUUAUUUUUUUUUUUCUUACCAUUCUUACUCCUAGCUGUCCCCAAGUUUAUAUUAACCACUGCUGAUCUGUUGAUUUCCAAUCUUUUCAUGUAAGAUUAUCCGUUCAUUCUCUGAUACAACCUUGCCUUUAAAAACUGUGCAGUAUGCUUAAUAUAUAAAUUAAGCAUAUUACUGUUAAUAAUAUUCAAUGGCAAUUUUAUUUCUUAUGGUGCAUAAUACAGUUGUAUAUGCUAUAAUUGGGUGGGAGGGGGGAGCUGGGUAAGUUUAUUAUUUUCUUUUUCUUUCCUCUUAUUUUUUUAGAACAGAGUUUGGUGUUUAGCCUCUGUUUUCCUACAUUUCACUUUUGCACAUAAAAAGUUAGUUCUUACUGUAUGUAAAUGUGCAAAAUGUUUACUUAAGGCACUGUGCAGCUCAGCCAGCUGUAUCAGUGUUUAUCCUGUACUGUAACCUUGGGCUGCUAGUGGUUGGAAUUACCACUUUUGUAUUUUUUUCUGAUUUUAUGAAUAAAAUUAUGUGAUUUAA